GAGCUUGAUUGCAAGACAUACAGGUCGAGCAAGGAUGAAAAUCGGACUUAGUGAUCCGGUGGUUCUGCGUGGAAGGGCCAUCGCUCAACGGAUAAAAGCUACCCUGGGGAUAACAGGCUUAUCUCCCCCAAGAGUCCACAUCGACGGGGAGGUUUGGCACCUCGAUGUCGGCUCAUCACAUCCUGGGGCUGUAGUAGGUCCCAAGGGUUGGGCUGUUCGCCCAUUAAAGUGGUACGCGAGCUGGGUUCAGAACGUCGUGAGACAGUUCGGUCCCUAUCCGUCGCAGGCGUAGGAAAUUUGAGAAGACCUGUCCUUAGUACGAGAGGACCGGGAUGGACGUACCUCUGGUGUACCAGUUGUCUGCCAAGGGCAUGGCUGGGUAGCUAUGUAGGAAUGGAUAAGCGCUGAAAGCAUCUAAGCGCGAAGCCAACUUCAAGAUAAGAUUUCCCACCGCAAGGGUAAGACCCCAGAAAGACUAUCUGGUUGAUAGGUCGAAGGUGUAAGUGCAGCAAUGUAUUUAGCUUAUCGAUACUAAUAGGUCGAGGACUUGACCAAUAUUUAUUUGAUGUUCAUUGAUUAAGAUAUAUGUGUAGUUUUUAGAGUGUUAACUCUAAAGAAACUAGUAUUACUAGGUUCUAUAAACUUAUUAAAAACUUAAUAGAAAUAUUAAGCAUAAAGAUUAUGUGGUUACAAUAGCAGAGAGGAUACACCUGUUCCCAUUCCGAACACAGAAGUUAAGUUCUCUAGCGCUGAUGGUACUUGGUGGGAAACUGCCUGGGAGAGUAGGACGUAGCCACGUAAUUUUUUUGGGUAAAUUUAUAAAAAUUAAAAAAGUUUUAUUUUUUAUGUUUAAACCUUGUAAAUUUGGGACAUAAUAUAAUUGUAAAACUUAAUAUAGCAAAAAUAAAUUACUCAAUCUCCCCCACUUAAAGACCUCUAUCCCCCAUAGAGGUCUUUUUUACUUUCAAAUCAAAUUAUAUAAAAAAUAAAUAGUUUUAUAUGACUCUUCAUAAAUUAAAAUUACAUUGUGAUAGCAAACCAUGAAUAUGAAAAAUAUAGAAAAUUAUAGCUAACAUAAGCUGUAUAUCAUCUUAACUUCAGUAUAUUUAACAAAAAAUGUUUAUAAUUUAACCUUUAUUUUAAUAAGUUUACCAUAUAUUCACUUUGUCUUAAUAUAUCCUUUACAAAUUAAGAGUAUUAUUAAUCUAUAAGUAAAUCGUAGAAUUAAAUUAAAUAUUUUGGGAGGAUAAAAAUGGCAGAUAUAAGACUAGAAAAUGUAACAAAAUCUUAUAAUAAAAAAAAUACAGUUAUAGAAAAUUUAAAUCUUACUAUAGAAGAUGGUUCUUUUACAGUAUUGGUAGGUCCAAGUGGAUGUGGUAAAUCUACUACAUUAAGAAUGAUUGCAGGUCUUGAAGAUAUAACUUCAGGCAAGUUAAAAAUUGAAGAAAAUGACGUUACAAAAACGGAUGCUAGUAAAAGGGAUAUAGCUAUGGUAUUUCAAAAUUAUGCAUUAUAUCCACAUAUGACUGUUAGAGAAAACAUAGAAUUUGGUCUUAAAAACAAAAAAGUAGAAAAAGAAAAAAGAGAAAAACUUAUAACAGAAGUUAUUGAUGUAGUAGGAUUGAGAGAAUAUUUAAAUGUGAAACCAGGCAACUUAUCUGGAGGUCAAAGACAAAGAGUGGCACUUGCUAGAGCUAUGGUUAAAAAUCCAAAGGUAUUUUUAAUGGAUGAACCAUUGUCAAAUUUAGAUGCUAAAUUAAGAAAUCAAAUGAGAACAGAAUUAAUACAAUUACAUCAAAAACUAAAGUCUACAUUUGUUUAUGUAACUCAUGACCAGGUUGAGGCAAUGUCGAUGGCAGAUAAGAUAGUUAUAAUGAACAAAGGAAAGAUAAUGCAAAUAGGUUCUCCAAAGAAGAUAUAUCAAAAUCCUAAAAAUUUAUUUGUAGCUCAAUUUAUAGGGAGUCCUUGUAUGAACAUACUAGAUAUAAAAAAUGAUAUUAAAUUUGGAUUCAGACCAGAAAAAGCAACACUAGAGAGUAUAAACAUAGAUGGAAAAAAUGAUGAUGUAUUUAGUCUAUUUGGAAAAGUUGUAACUAAAGAAGUGUUGGGAAAUGAAACUAUAUAUUGUU
rnacentral:rRNA from 1 species